GGAUCUGUGGUGCAAUAGUAGCGUGUCUGACUCUAGAUCAGAAGGUUGUGUGUUUAAUUCACGUUGGAUUCA
rnacentral:tRNA from 1 species